GCCUGACUGGCUCAGUUGGUAGAGCGUGUGACUCUUGAUCUUGGGGUUAUGAGUUCAAGCCCCAUGCUGGGUG
rfam:Ailuropoda melanoleuca scaffold1019_111, whole genome shotgun sequence.